CAAAGUCAAUGAUUUUCAAGGGAUCUCCUCGUCGUGGGUUUUGUUUAGGAAAAUGGCAUAAAGGGAAGAAGUAGUUGUGUUCCUUAGUUCAUCCUUUUUUGAAAGUUUACUGGAUGAUCAUCAUGCACGAAACACUUUGGUAGGUUCUGUAGAUACACAGAACCAACUCUUCCUUCAGGGAACUUAUACAGGAUACCAAGGGAGAGAGAGAAUACUCAACUACCAUUUACCACACUAUGUGAAAAGUAAUAAAGUACAGAGGGGCAACUAUUCAGCCCUUGGGGAGCUUUGAUCAAUGCUCAUAACAGCAUGCCCUUGAAAUAGGACUUCUGAGUGAGUGCAAAAAGCCAGGACACAGGUGUCGGGGUGAGGUCUGUUCAGAAGCUUGGAAUGCUCUAGUAUGGCUGGUUGGGACCAGAGCACCCUGUGGAGCAGAGCUGCCAGACAGCUCUAGAACACACGUCUUCAGACUUUUGCACAGAGGGUAGAGAUGGCCCACUCCCACAUGUCUGUGAGGAAGUUCCAGAAGGGACUGUGGAAGUGGGCUGGGGCCAGAUCAUGAAGGACCUUGUGCAACAUUAAGGAAGUGGAACUUUCACCUGAAAGCGAUGGGGAAGCACCGAUAGAUUUUAGGCAACUGAGCAGAUUGCGUUAUAGAAAGACAAUUCUAGUAGUUAUUCACAUGAAAGAUAAAAUUUUGGGGAGGAGUUGGUGAGAUUAAAGAAGAUAAACAAAUUCAAAGGCUUCUAUAAUAAUAAAGUAAAUAAACAAUGAGGGGCAAACACAGAAAGUUAUUGUAAUUAAGAGAGAGUGCACUAGAGUCAACUGCCUGGGUUCAAAUCCUGGUUUUACCAUUAAUUGAUAUGUGACAGCUGGGAAAAUUACUUAUCUGUUCCUUAAUUUCCUUACUUGUAAAAUGGAGAUAAUAAUAAUAGUAGGGUUGUUUGAAGAUUAAAUGAGUGGAAAUAUGUAACAUAUUUGCAUCAGUUGCUGGCACAUGCAAAUGCUCAAUAGAUGUUAGCUAUAACUAAAGCAAAAACAAAGAGGAUGCAGAAAAAAGAAAAAAAAUGGACAUCAAAUGUGUGUGAGAGAUGAUUCCAGGCAUAUGCAAGAACUGUGGUUUAAGUGACCAUGUGGGUAGACACUGACAGCAUAACAGAGUUUAAUGGAAAAGAUGAUGAGUUUAAUUUUGGAUGUAUUGAGUUUGAGUUGCUUAUUGUAUAUUCAAGUAGAGAAGCCCUUUAUGAAAUUGAAUGUAUGAAUCUGGGAUUUAGGAAAAUAAUAUCUUGGACAGAGAUGUAGGUUUGCAAAACUUGGGUAGUAGAAGACACAAAUUUAUAUGGUCAUGCAAGAAAUUUCAAAGAGUGAGAAGAAAAAAAGUACUUGAGGACCAGAAGCUGGCCAACAUUAGCAUUGAGGGCAGUACAGGAGCAAAGGAGACUACAGAGAAGCCUAAGAAGGCAUAGCCACAAAGAAGGAUCAGCAGGAGGAAAGACAAGAACAAAAAGUGAGAAAUACUGCCAAGAUUGAAUAAGUCUGUGGGUCUAUGGGUGACAGAGCUUGCUAGUUGUCUCCCCAUCAUCAUAAUCCGCAUCUAAAGAAAUAAAAGUUUUGGCUGCCCCAUAUUGAAAUGGCAUUUCCCAGCCUCCCAUGUAAUUGGUGUGGCCAUGUAAUUAAAGCCCACAAUGGGAUAUAAAUGAAAGUGUCCCGUGACAGUAUCCAGGAACUUUCCUGAAGAGGCAGGUGGCUGAGCCUUUACACCAUCUUCAUCCUUGCCUCUGUUUGCUACCUAGGAUUUGGAUACUAUUAAUACCUUUACCUUGUCCAAGAAGAUCACAGCCACCUCUUGGUAAGUGGAGCUGUGAGCUGGAAGGAGCUUGCAUCCCAGAGUACCCUGUGGAGCAGAGCUGCCACACAGCUCUAGAACACAUGCCUUCAGACUUUUACACAGAGAGAAAUCAACAUCUGUCUUAUUAUGCUAGUAAUGUUUUGUUUUUGUUUUCUGUUUCUCCCAGCUGAACUUAAUUCUAAUCAACACACUAUGUUUUGUCCUGUUUUCUCUUUGACAGGAAAAUAUUUUGGGAGAAAUACUGAUGAGUUAAAGGCCCCCUUUAUCCUACCCAUUACAUUUCAUUUAAAAUUUCUAUGAAAAUAUGACAUGAACUGUUAGUUAUGGAGGAGUUAAAGUUGGAUGUUGCUUGUAUUAACAACAAUAACAAAAAACUAUGCAGUAAGUUCAACUCUAAAAACCAACCAAGAUGAUGUUUUGAAAAAUAAUUUUAUUUGAAAUCUCAUGUAUAAAUUACGGCCUGAGAUAUAUCUCAAAAGAAAAUUAUCUGUGGUUCUAAAUAAAAUUUGUCAAGGCAGAGUAUUUAGAAUGCAGAGAAGGGGGUGGUAUGGACAGAGGGUAGAGAUGGCCCACUCUUUGGAAAGAAGGUCUGAGAUCCGGGUGUAAUAAUGCAGGCCUCUGACUGUCAUUUCCCUGAGAGACACAACACAGCUUAGUGAAAGCACCAUGACAUGCCAUCCCAGUGAAAGAGCUUUCCUGGCAGCAUUCACCCCCCUAUGCCAGGGUUGCUCCCCACGGUCUGCUUAUCCUCCUUGAGUGGGAGCCCAGCCGCCGUGACUAAACAAGGCAGUAAGUAGAUUUGCCAGCCCAAAUGCCAGAUCAUCUGAAUACUUUCCCCCUUUCUUUCCUAGCCUCAUUCUGUUCUCCAGGGGAGCAUAAAAUGAGAGGGGAAGUGAGAAGAAAGAAACUGAGAGAGUAAAUGCUGCUUAAAGAAGCCAUACUCCCUGACCUUCAGUCUCAUUUAGCUCCUACAUAGCCUGGGGGAUAAAACUGACUGCUGAGGAUAUACCCAAGAGACCCUGGCUAGGAUUGUAAAAUUCAAACCAAAUACAGGGGGCAGGUGGGACAUGCAGACUUGGGAUUAAAACAAGGGUAUCCCUUGAGCGUCAAUUUUAUUAAGAUAUUUGAAGAAAAAAGCCCACUGGUUUCCUAGAACAAUAGACAGGAAAACUGAUACAAAUUCUUAUGACAAAAUGAGACUUCCAAGUUAUUUCAUGCCUGUGGCUCUAGCUUCAGGAUGUAACUCCACGUUUCCUGGGGCUCAUGAUGUUUCUCUUUUGAUAUCAGGAAUAUUUUGGUAAAUUUUUUUUCUGAAGCACUAGAGUAAGAUAAGUUCAGAAAAAAUGUGUCCAUUGGAUUUGACAAUUCUGAGGUCCCUGGUGAAGUGGUAAUAGCAUUUUUAGAGGGUUGGGUUUAGGAGGGAAUGAGAGAUGAGGAAGUAGGCCGAAUAAAAAGAGCUGGAUCCUAAAGAGAGAAACAGAGAAAAGAAAGGAGCAGAGUGGAGGAUGGGGACCUGUCAUCAUCAUCUCUGUGUGCAGUGCAAGGGAGGACAGUGUCAUAAUUGUGGUGGCGUGCUCAAAGAAGGGACUGCCCUGAAGAUAAGGUGGCAUCCACCCAGCACAUAUGGCCAUGGGAGGUGGCUAGCAGCUGAGCAGGACAAACUUGGGGAUGCUAGUGGGCUAUGGAGUAGGUCAGUGUUUGGAGAGGAAAAAGCUCUGGCCUGUAUUUGGAAGAGCUAGAGUCUCUUCUGACUGUGUCCAGAGUUACUAAUGUAAAUUGGGCAAAUAGCUCUUACUGUUUUUAUCUCAGUAAUGGAAUAGAUGCUCUUUAAAUAUUAGUCCAGCUCUAACAUUCAAUAAUACAGCUAUAUAUUUUGAUGACAGCUCACGGUUUCUUCCUGAACCCUGUUGGCUCCCCAGACACUUAACUCCAGGUCGGGAUUCUUUAACAACUGGCAUCUGGAGGCAACAUUGUUUCUCUGAGAAAGUGAAGGUUUUUGCUGGCUGGAUCAGAAAAAGGAAGCGAUGCCUGGGAGUGGAGUAGCCAUCUGGGGGAUGGUGUCAAAAGCCACAUACUGAGCAUUGUGAAGGGAAGAGCGUCAAGGAGCAGCAAGCAGUUGCACUAGUCUUGGACUCGUUAUCUAAGUAUCAGGAAAAUUCCCCCUUUGGCACUCCAGCUGUGAAUCACAAACUCUUAAUUUGUGCCAUCUAAGGAAAAAGAAAUGGGACACCUGUGCUUUUGUGGUAACAUAAUUUUGGAAACAGCUCACGAACAAUCAGCUUAUCAUAUGAAAUGUAAGUGCUUUGGUAAAAUAUUUAGUGAUGGAAAUUGCUAGUGAACUUCUAUUGAUAUAUCUACAAUGUUGGGCUGAGAGAGGCCUUCUCAGCAAUGUGUUCCAGUCACGUAGGGCUGCUGCUGUCCUUUUUAAGAAUUUCCUGUAUUCUUGUUUUGAGGCCUUCACCCUAUUUCUCAUUUAGAAAGCCUUUUGCACCCAAUCUCCACCUUUCUAAAUCCUUCAAGUUCAAGCUCAGAUCUUUCCAAAUCAAGUUUUCCCUCACCAUUUGAGUUGAAAUAAAUUACUCUCUCAUGUGUUAACCUGUAUUAGUUAGCAAUUAACACAGGAAAAAAGAAUCACUCCAAAACUUAAAAGCUUAAGACAACAACUGCUCAUUUGCUCAUAAUUGUAUGGGUCAAUAACUGGGCAAAGUUUAACUGGCAUUGAUGGGGUUUACGUCUAUGUUUCCGUCAGUUGGUGGACUGGCUGGGGGCCAACUGGCCAGCUGACAAGGACCUUACACUCAAGCCUGAGGCCUUGGCUAUGCUGCUUGGAAUGGCUGGACAGUUUGGGCCUCUGUCUUCACAAGCAGAGAGUAAAAGUCAUAAUGUUGUUGUAGAACACCAUUGUGCCCCAUUUCAUUGAUCAAAACAAGUCACAAGGCUGGCCCAGAUACCAAGGGUAAGGAUGGUAAAAUAAGACUCCAACAGAUUCUUUUUCAAAUAUGGCUUCAUUGUCUUGAUUUUUAAAAAAAUUCUGUAAUUUUCUUCAAAGUUGGAAUUCUAGGAUUAGUGAACCUGACAUUAUAAACAUCUUCAAUUGAGUUUUUCUACAAAUCAUGUUUUUCAAUUUUUAUUUUGAACUAAUUUUUGAUAGAAAAGUUGAAAAAAAUAGUACAGAUAAUUUUCAAAUAUUCUUUACCCAGCUUCACCAACAUCAACAUCUUACAUAAUCAAAAUAUAAUUGUCAGAGGAGGAAAAUCAACUUUGGUGCAAUACAAUUAACAAAACUAAAUACUUUAUGUGAAUUUCAACACUAAUGCACUUUUACUGUUUUAGACUCUAUCCAGGCUCCCACUUGCAUUUAUUUGUUACUCUGCCUGAGUUUCCUACAGUCUGUAGCAGUUCCUGAGCCUUCCCUUAUCUUUUAGAUUUUGACACUUCAGAAUAGUUUUGUUGUUGUUGCCGUUGUUCUUGUUGUUGAGACAGAGUCUUGCUCUGUUGCC